ACAGGUUUCUAGAGGCUUAUAGAAAACUGUACUGAAUUUUAAUUUAUGUCUAAUAAAUAAUUUUUCAUACUUUCUCUACUUAGCUUAGCUUGCUAAAAUUUAAUUUUUAAGUGUACAAAGUGUGUUAACAUUGUGUUGCAGUCUGAAGAGAUCUAUAUCUGACUGACAAGCUGAGGACAAGAAUAGGGCAUGACCGCAGUAAGAGCUGCAGCAGACAAUGCAAAAAGGGGGAUAAGGUGCAGCAAAGGUGCUUGGGAGCACAGUGGAAAAAAACUCUGAUAGAAAUAUUUGCUGUAGCCUUUCUUUGACACCUCUGACCAAAAACACCUCUAAAAGUAGGAGAGAGAAGCAGUGUUCACAGACCCUUUUUAUAAGUGUGAUAACUAAGACAAAUGGAUCCACAGUUAGCCAUCAACAUUUGUAUCCUUCUCCAAAAAGGAUUUUCAAUAAUCUAGUGAUAGCUAAUAAUGCCACCAUGACGCAUAUGAAAUCAGAAGAAACAUCAGGUGUUCAGAUAAAAGGGAAAAAAGAAAGUGGAAGAGCAGGAAGGUCUGAGAUCUCUCUGUACCCCAGAACUACUGCUGCUCAGACUGAAACAAGGUCCUGAAUGAAUGUGUCUCUUUUGUUGCUGGAUCACUUCCUUCAGAUUGCUGAUAAAUUAGAGGAAUCCAUACUACUCCUUUUUAAUGACCUGUCUCUUUCAAAAAUAAUUGCUACGAGCUGUUGAUGUGCUCUUCAGGGUCUACACCAUGUGUGGUAGAUGGUCAAAUUAAGACUAUCAACUCAAAUUACUUGACAGAGAAUGGAAAAGGACAUCAGAUUUUUACUCUUUUAGGACCUUUGCCCUCCAGUGACUUGUCACUUUGAGAUGACAUGCUGCCACUAACUUCUAAACCUGCAGUGUCCACUAAAAAACAUCCAACAAGGACUGGUGUCCGUCAUGUGCCAGUGAAAUAAAUAUUCACUUUUCAAUGAGCUGUCUUAGGAGAUAGUAGUGACCAUAGUAUCAACAAAUAUGGUGUAAAAUAUAACCCAGAAUUCUGACUUUUAGAGACAGUUAUUAACAAAAGAGACAAAAUCUAGAAGUCCUUUUUACUAGGUACACCUCUGUUAAAGAAUUCCUAUUUUUGUGCAGAUUUAAAUCCAGGAUGCAGUCAUUUAUUAUUCUGUGGUUCUAGGGAGAAAAGCAGAUAUUCUGGGUCCUCUACGUGAAUAUUUAGUCAAAGAGAAAAAUAACUUUUUUUUCUUGUAAUUUUUUUAAAGGAACAUCAUUCUCACCUUAGACAGAGAGCAUCAAGUGAGAUGCUUAAGAAAUGUGAAACUAACAUUUCAAUUGGAAGUUUAAUAUAUUUUACCAUGCUCUCAAUAAUAACCCUUUGGCAAAAAAACUUAUUCCUAGUACAGCUGCUUUGGGUUUGUUUGGUUUGUGGUUUUGUGGGUUUUUUCCUCUCCAGAUGGUGGGUCAUUAAAAUUUCCCUGGAUAACCUCUUUAUAAAAUGUAUAUUUUCAUCCUCUAUUGAUCUUUAAUGCACAAUCAUCUAAAUGGUUUAGAGACCUACCAAGAACUGCUGCAAGCUCUGUUCGUGCCUUUUUCACCAUAGAAGUUUAAACAUCAAGAGAUUUAAUUAAUGUUAGAAGAAUUUUCCUCCCAUGGCCUAAAAUCUACACGGCUUAUUUCCCCCUCAGACUCCUUAGUGCUGGUAGAACGGUUCUGGAAAUAAAUGAUCCUCACCAAUAUUUACAUAGCUUGCCAGGAAACUUUCAGCAUUAAAGUCAUAGAGAGAGAAGAAUAAUCAAUUAGCACUUUUGCUAGGAAUACUCUUUCUCCUUUGUCUAGGAGAUCGAAGCUGAAUCAUUACUUGACCGUAUUCACCAAAUGCAAAUUCACAGAGAGAAUGAAUUCAAUUUUUCAAGUAAUUUUUGGCCAUUUUAGGAAGAUAUCGUUAUGAAUGUCAUAACCAGCCAUUACUGAUGACAUUUUAAAUUGUGCUGUUCUUUGAAUGAGCACUAAUAGUUUAGAAUGUUAAAGCCAAUAUACACAGUUAGAUGAAAUACAUUUCAAAUGGAAUGAAAAUGAUACAAUGUUAAUGCAUCUUGAGGAGAAAAACAAACUGUAAAAAGCCACACAUCAAUAGUAGAUAUUUUUCUUUCCUCUGGAGGACUCCAGAACAAGAAUAUUCAAGAAAAAAAACAUAGUCCUUAAAAUGUCAAUAUUUCCAUUUCUGAAUGUCUUCAGACAGGUGAGAGGUGAAAUGGAUAAAUCCCUAUUUCUGUAUUUGUUUCAUUUUAUUUCUUCCUUUCCAUUUACUGUUCAUAUAAAUUCUACAUCUGGAUAGUGUUAAUGGCAGCCUUCUUGUACCUGAGCACACUAAAACAGGAUGAUUUCUAAAUUUAAGUGAAGAGAUAUUCAGAAGUUGGUAUUUUUAGCUGAGAAAAUCAUGGCCAAAACAUUGCUCUGCAAAAGGAAUAAAAGAGACAGAAAUGGGGCAGAAACCAGCAUUAAUUUCACGCAUAUGUCAACAAACAAUAGCCUGUUGUUUUCCUUAGCCCACACAACUUAAACUUGUUGAACCUCUUAGGUAAACUGAUGAUUUGCAGUGAUGACCUAUGGAAGUCUCUGUACUUGACGGGAGCUGGCAGGCAGGAUGGUGUGAGAUACUGAAGUCUUGCUCUGCUCUUUGGAUAAAAUGUAAAUAUGACAUCUCAGUAACUACCCUGUGGGAAACAGUUUUAUGUCAAUACAAUGGAAAUUAGGCACCGCAACAAAAUUUUAAUUUUUUAAGGACCUUUCAUAAUUUUUCAUUUAUUAUUUGAUUACUCUUGAUAUUUCCUAAAAUAGCUUUGCUUGUUGUAUUGGAUUACAGAAGAAUAUUUAAAUGGAGCACCCUUGGUUCUGGAAUGCAUUUGGUGAAGCACAGAACACCUUACAGUCUUGAAAAGUUAUACAGGGAAAAAAUAAACAUGUUGGUUAAGAAUACACUUACAACAGUCAGAAACAACAGUAAACUGAUUCAAUUACUAUCAAGGCUAUAAGCAGUAACUUGGACAGCCCUGAACACAGGACAACAAAAGUCCUAGAUCUUGGACCAGAGUGGACUAACUUAUUUUAUAACAAGAGGAAGACAGAAGUUAGUAGAGGUUUCUCACUUUGUUGCUGUUUCUAAGGAAGCACCCCUCAUGAAUGAAAUUUACUUUCAUUCCCCUGAGAGCAUUUUGUUCAGAAUAAUUCCACUUUCAUUGAAGUAAAUCAGUAAUUACUGAACCCAAUUCCCAAAAAUUCCCGACCCUAAGAAAAUGAAAAUCAAUAUCAACAAUAACUAGAAAAUAAGUGUACAUAAGAACGACCAAGAACUGAAAGGAAUAUCUUUAAUACAGAAGUGUUAGAAAAAUGACAGUUCCCAUGGAACCACUCCAAAAGAUAAAAACAGAUGGGGAUGAAAGGAGGUUGGGUUUAGGAGUCCUAAUUUAUAUAUCUCACAGUAAAAAAAUUAUUUUGUAUUGUUGAAAAAAUUACUAUAGUAACCUCUUUGUUUUCCCUCUGUAAUAAAAAAAAAAAAAAGCAGUGAAGAGUGACAGCAUCCAUAAACAUUUCCAUAACGUGGGAGUAAGUCUAACUAAUGCACUAAUGCACAAACAAGUUUUCAUGAAGUCAACUAAGUUCAUAGGAGUUCUCAAGGAAUUGGCUCCUUUAUUUGUAUAUGUCCACACUCAAAGGGACAAACUAGAUACAGAGACUUAAAACCAAACUGAACAACUCUACAUGUUUUUCAUUCUUCUCUGAUAUUUUUUUCUUGUAAAAAAGAUGUAUAGUAAAAAUCAUAAACAACUUACUGGCCUUAAGCAGUUAAAGUUCUUAACAAAUACAAAAUUAUAGCUUUCUACUUUUAAUAUUUUAAGCCCCAAAAUAGUAAACAGGACUAUUAUGAAUAUGAUUAAGAAACUUCCUGCAGCUAUUGAAAGAUUACUCUUCUACAGAGUCUGCAAGAAAAACUGGUGCUUUUGGCUUAGCUGUGAGCUCCCUGUACUUUUUAUGUCAAGGUAAAGAUAAUAGAUGAAAAGGUUGCAUAUGUAUAAAAGGAACUUGGAAGGAAAACAGAUGCUUUAAAUUGGUCUCUCUGAAGCACUGAGAGUGCAGAUGGGAAAUACACUAUUAAAACAUUGACAUUAUAUUACUUUUACUAUCUCUAGUCUGAAAGAAACAGAGGUCAGGUAAGGACUAACUUGUUCGGUGAUUCACUUAAGGCAAACAUUAGCCCACCCAGGGUUAAUAAAACACGCUUAGAAACAAUUUUACAGUAAAGUUUACUACAUAAUAAGCUGAAAAUAGCCUGUAACAGCUGUGAAGCAUGAGAGGGAUAGCAGCCCCUAAACCUGAUGUCUUGGCUGGCACUCCAAAAGCAGCAUGCUUUCACCACCAAAGCUAGCAGAAGGUAGAGGGUGUAGACAUCUGAAAUGAAUUAUGUAUUUCAGGAAUAAGAAAGUGGCAGAAAUUGCAAAGACAGAAGCUCAAAUUUGGUUCUCAUUCAUACUAAGACCAAACUGAGGUGGUUAUUAAAGCUACAGUAAUAGUGUAGGGUUUAUUUAAUCCAACAGAUAAGAAUGUUUCAAGGUCAUCAAUGUUCAUUGAAGUUAAAAAAUAAAAGACAAAAACCCAAACAAAAGCAACCAACAAAAAAAUCCCAAAGAACCAAGAAACUAAAACAAGAAGAAAAGCCACAAAUGGAUAUUUGUCCUUGAAUACCUUGUCCAUCACCAAAUUCCUACACCUGAAUAUUUCCCUUAGGAGAUGGAAAUAGAGGGCAGAUUUAUGUGAACUUUUUUGGGGAAUUACAUUACAGUGAGACCAAAUGCUCUCUAGAAGACAUGAUUUUAUUCGAUUGACUUCUCAAAUUGUUCCCAUAAAAGAAACUCAAAUAGUCUCAUCUUGGGUGAGAUGAAUUCAAAUCCAAGUAUGAGAUUUACUUGACUUAUUUAUGUGUCCCUUAUUUUUUUUCCUCCUUCAUUUGUUUUGGAAAAGUAGGGACUUGAAUUUUUACAUGGAUUCAAUGGAACAUUAAACACAUAAAUUGCAAAGGAUCUUAGACACCAAGACAUCAACCAUUGUCACUUGGCCAUUGUUUACCCUUCCCUUCUCCUCCCACCUUGAAGUAUAAAAUUCCAUUUAUAUAGUUAUUCUUUAGGAAGCUAAUAAAUAGAAGUGUAUCUCCCUCUCAAACUAUAAGCUCCCUUUGGACACAAAUAGCAUUACCAACCCUUACAAUUUAAAGGACUAGUGAAAUCAUUUUCAGUGAAAAUUCAAGGACUACUUGUAGACAUGCUGGGCAAAAAGCAUCUUAACAGAAAUCAUUUGCUUCUCAGGAAAAAAUUAGUAAAUGCAAUAUACCUGAAAACAUACAAGAAAUCUGAUGAUACUUUCUUGCAUUGCUAGUGAAGCCCAUGAAUUUCCUGUAAACAAUAGUUUUACUCUCCAAUAAUGUCAGAUAAUAAAAAGUUGAGAAAAAGUAGAAACUUACCUAGAAAAUUCUAAACUACUUUUUCAAAACUUUUUUGCUUGGUAUUCCUCAGAGCAGUAAGAAAAAUAACAGACGCACACCUACACUGGUAGAAUCUUGACAUAUCUAUUCUCCCUCUUCUACAUUCUCUUCUAGAAAAACCUUUGAAAAUUAUUCUAAAACAAUACUUCCAACAACCAUAACUACAUACCUUGAAGGCUGAAUUAUCAUUCUUAGAUUAACUUCCCUUUAAAAUUUAAGAAUUAAAAAUUUUAAAAAUCUAAAAAUUAAAAAACCCCAAAACAUUCAAAAUUUAAACAUCUAGAAAUCCAAGUAAAACACAGUAAGAAACAUAAAAACUUGACUUCACUGAAAUCAGUUAUAAUUUUUAUAGGAAUAGGACAUUUUUAAGGAAGGUUUCCAGCUUACUUAAAAUAGAUAUUAUGAAAUUAAAAUAUUAUUCUUAUUAAUAAUUCUCUUCAAACACAGUAUUUCCGUACAGACCCAACUUUAUGAAAAAUGUAAACCAUGUUUAUAGCUUCCUCACCUUAUAUUUUCUAAAUGAAGAAUCAUUUUUGUGUCCCUGAUGAUGGAAGAUCUAUCUUCUGAUGAAGAAUUGAAAGAUCUAAGCAGCUUGUUGUAAAACCAUUAUAUUUUUAAUAUUUCCUCAGCUUUUGAAUACAUAUUUCAUAUUUGAAAAGUAAUGGUAUAUGGACCAAGGUAAUCUUGAAAAGAAAGUAACUUGAAAAUCAUACUGGGGUUGUAACUGUAGAUAAAUUAAAACUGUUGCACAGUCAUAAAGAGUAAUUAAUUUAUUUCCAAGAAGAUUCUUUGACUGUUACAUACAGAUCCAUUAUAAGCUAAAAAUCAGAUGCAACAUAAUAGCACAUUAUCAGCUUUAAUUACAAGAGGUCUGAUGAAUCCUUAAUUGUUUAACUCUGUGAAACACAAGAAAGGGAAAAGGUGACUCUGGUAUGUCAAUGUGAGGAACUUAAAUGCUAAAAACUGAGGUGUCUCUGAAAUAGAGAUAAAAGAUUAUCAAAAGCUUUUAAAAUGGUUCAUUUCAGACUUAGUUCCUUGAAUUCCACACUUCCAAUGUCUAAGACCUGUCACUAGACAGAAUUUUAUUAUCGAAUUUCAUUUUGCCUUUGCUCAAUACGUGCUCAUUUGAAAAACAGUUUACAGAUUUGUUUCUAUUUAGGCAUAUCCCUACACAGAUUCAAAAUAAUACACCCAUUUAAAUCUAAUUAAUGACACUUAUUCUAAAUUGACAUUUGCCAAUUUUUGCUUUUAUUAUGGAAGAUGAAUCAUUAGCCAGCAAAGCACUAUGACAAUGAUAACAACAACAAAAAAGCCAUAUGGUAAUUGCUUUCGAAACUCCCAAAAGUGUGACUGUCAUCACCUAUCAAAAGCAAAUAAGAAAAAUACAUUUGCUUUUCAACUUAAACUAGUAGAAAAUAAGAUUUUAGCAUUGUUAUACCUUACUGGAAACAGUCUUUGUAGUAAUCAUGUACUUAUUAAAAUUCUGAAUGAGUUUUUUGGUACUGAGAAAAAGAAAUUCUAAAUAAUAUCUACACAGAAAGUCACAAUUUCCCUGGAAAAGAAUUUUCCCCUAAGGGUGUUAUUUUGAUAUUAUUUAAUAAUUAAUGCAAAUCAGAAAUUAUCCCUCCCUCUCAACCCAACCAAUUCCCAAAAAAACCAAAACCAAAACCUAUAUAUUGGUAAAACUCUGAAGACCAGCUUCACGCACGUAAUACUUAAUGUGCCAAAGUCCUUCUUCCACUUCCUAAUCCCAAACAGCACACAUCAAACUUGAGAUCAAGGAAAAAAUCCUAACACAAAUCCAGAUGCAUAUUUUUACAAUGACAGUUAAAAGCAAAGAAUCUUUAAUUAAAAAUCAAACAAACAACAAAAAACCCCUGGCAUUUUCACAACCUGUAUAAAAACAGACAGCCAAACUUCAAAUUCAUUCAUCUUAUUUCUGAUGUAGAGGGAUAAUUCUUGUAGUUAUUCCUUAACUUGCCUGAAUUGUCAUAGAUGGCUGAACAGCAGAGAGGUGUUCUGAUGUGUGAACAGAAUAUGAGGACAGAGAAGAAAAAGCACAACUGAUGAGUGCAAAGACUGUAAACCCAUUUUCUUGAAUAUGACUUUAAUUUGGUUAGAUGCAUGAGCAAAGUACUUGAAAAGUGGUAUCAAUGCUCAGCAACUUUCAUAUGACUACCAAGUGGCCUAAUUUUGUGUUAACAUUAGAAAAAGAAAUUGAUUACAGUGGAAGACUAUUUGCUGUAGCAGUUAAUACUAAAUUUGUAUGCCUCUAUAAUUUACUUCACUUAUGGCUGUCUCUUAUAUUAAUAUUCAUUAUAAAAGUCCUCUUCUAAUAUUGCUUGAUUUGACAGGAAUGCAUUAUCUAUGACAAAUGCUUUAUAAUGUGCUCAGAAAAUAUUAAUACAAGCAGAAACUCUGAUAAUUGCUGUUACAUGAAUACAAAGAUUUUCCUUUUUAUUUGACUUUCCCUCUUCUCUCUUCUUCCAAGCUUUUUGCUAUAUACAUCAGUCAGAAUAAUUCCUAAACUCAACUUGUAGUGCCAGACCAUAUGAAAAAGUGAACCAAUUCAGUCCUUCCAGGAAUUUUAAAGUACAAAAAUGCUAUGAUGUUUUGGUUUGGGGAGGGAUGUAAUCGCUAUUUUAUGUUAGAAUAAAUAAAUUUUUCCUCCUUAGGAGAUGACUUGCCUAUGAAAGUUCCUUAUACAAUCCGUAUGUAAUCUAAGACAACAGUCAGAAUGUUCACUGUCAUAAAGUAGAAUGAAUGGUCUUCUGCCAGGUCUUCUACUGCUUUACCCAAUUGUAGUAAGGUUUGACUGGAGAAAUAGGGCCUAAAGUUUCAGCAACUGCAUAAGUAAUGUACUACCACAAAUGGCAUUCAAAUAGAGCAACAUAAAUAGAUAAUCAUAUUAGCCUGUAAGGUCAUACUGCAAAGACACCCAUUCAAAAAAAACCCCCAAAAACCCACCAAUAUUUACAGCACCCUAAUGUAACACAGUAUAAUCCACAAUUCAGAAUUUAUAAGAAAUUAUAACCAUAGCUCAGCUUCAUAGAUACGUUCAUUAAUUAACUCAGAACAAAACACUAAAAAUCAUAUUGUGGUAGAAUGAUGCUACCAAUGUAUUUUGUUCUCAGACAGAAUUGCCAAAAAUUGACACCAAGAAAAUCAGAAUCAAUCCUCAAUUUCUUGUUUUCUAAGACAUUAGUGUGAUGUAUUUUAAUAGUCUGAGGUGCCAGAAUUGUCCAGAUAAAUAUUUUCCAUGUUCAUUUAUAAAAAGAGGCAUAAUUUAAGACUUUGCUUUCUAAAAACCCAAGCCCCAACUCAUAUAUGCAACAAAUAUUCAGGAACAAUAUCUUCAUAUUUGAUAUCAAUGGAUAUACUGAUAUCUGAUAUCAAUAUUUCUGAUAUCAAACCGGUAAUUAAUUGAAGCAAUAAAUCGGUUGGACUACCAAUGUUUGAAAUACAGAAUUUAUACCUGUUGUAGAACUAAUAUGUUCAUGGUGCACAGCAAAGCAUGUUGACAACCUCAUGAAAACUUACACAUAAAGACUGAAUAGAUGAAAACAAGACUGUUUUGUAGCACCAUUUUAAAGCAGAAAAUUCACUUCAAUAGACUGUGCUACAUUAAUUAUUUUCUUUGUAUAAAAGUUGCCAUUGUUGGGAUUUGUGAGGGCUGGUAAACUCUCCUUCUCAGAGAGGCCACAUUCCCUUCCUCUAUGGGACAGAAAUGCGCAUGGUUUGGCAGAAGAUGUGGCACAGAACAAGGGCCCAAAAUCAAUUUUUGACUCAAAUCUGUUGGGAGGUUUUACAAAAUAGAGAAAUACAAAUACCAGACAAGUACCAAAGUACAGGCAGUUACUGCACUUCAGCUAAAUCCAGAAGCUCUUCAUAGUUUUCCUUUGGUGCUUUCUGGGGUUUUUUUCCCACUUUGAUAAUCUUAGUGCCGAUGACUAUGAUAGUAACAUAAUUCAUUUGAAUUGAAAUUGGAUAACCCAUUCUAUUAGCCCAGAAAUUUUCUAUUUAUUGAACUCAGAAUGCUAUAUCAACCAGUGAUGAAUGGUAAAUAUACAUUUAUACAAUGGGCAUGGGGGAAAUUCUCCUUAAGCCUCUCCCUGAAUUUUUGCAAAAUUCUAUCAAUGGUAAUCAAAACUUUUUGAUCCACUUAAAACAUGCAUUCCAUUCAGAAACUUUUGAUUAAAUAAAUUUCGGUAGUAAAUCUUUAAGGAUUCUUCUUCAGGGUACAUGCUCUUUGCAUUUAGAAAACUUCACAGGUAGUCUAUUAAUAAUUCUACUAUGAUGAGUUUCAGCACGUCUUUUUUAAAGGUGGAAACUAUGUGUUUGACAUCAUAAGUAUGUCUGAUCUAGAAGACAGGAAAGCUUUUGCCAUAAAUGAAGUGGGAGAACAAUAAAAAGGCUGUACAUGACUGCAUUGCUAAUGAAAUCCUGUGUUACUUAUCAGAAUUGUUCGUUUCCUGAGACCCAAAAGAGGAAUCUUCUGUAGAUCACACUGUUGCUUCACUAGUCCGUAUCUAAGACAGGGUAAAGAUGUGUUCAAAUAAUAAAUGUUAUCUGACUUAUUGAAUCACAGAAUGGACAGGUUGGAAAGGACCUUAAGGAUCCUCUAGUUCCAACCCCACUAGCAUGGGUUAUUAUUUCUCAUAUGAAAUUUUUUUCCUAAGAAAAAAAAAAACCAACAAUAGGUUGGUGAAGAACAACUCUUUUACAAAAGAACAAUUGUUCAUAUAUGAAGGAAUAAUUUGGGGUAUCAAUUUCAUUAUUCUGACACCAGCCAACUAUUCAGUACCACAGAGAUGCAUCUCCUUCCCCAUCCAUACUGCACAAAUUCAAAUCCUAUUCUGGAAGCCUCUUGGGUGAUGAUCACACUGAAGUAAAAAUAAACCAAAGAAAUCCUUAAACUCUCUGUAAAAUGAAUACUUCCAUCUCCUAAUGUUUCUUCUGGUCAAUUUAUGAAUUUUAUUGCCAAUACUUCAAAUACUACAUUUAAGUACUUCAUAUAUUCAGGUCAGAAAAAAAAACCCAUUAAAAUAAAUCAAAUUAUAAUGAAUUCUUCAGAAAAGGAUAUAAAGCAGUCAGUAAUCUAUUAGGUUAACUGCAAAUACUAAAAUUAAAUGUCUUGGCUCAGUUCACACAAUCAGAGAUAGACUUAAAAACCCAAUCUAAAUAAAAAAUAAAAAAAAAACCCAAACCAAACCAAACAAAAAAAAACUCAAAAAAACCAACCCAAAACCAACAACAACAACAAAACCCCACAUCACAAAACUUCUGUAUGUACCACAAAACUUCUUUCCUCUGGUAAGAUAUCAAAUCUUGUCUCUUGAUUCAGAUGCUGCCUGCCUAAGCAUAUAGUAAUGACCUUUAAAAUGUUAACCAUGUUCUUGAAAGUUGUACUGAAGGACUGGGUAGGUAAAAGGUGGGCUCAGGCACUGGAAAGUACACUCUGCCAACCAUAAAGUACACGUGCACUCAAUAGCUACAGCUCAGAGCACGGUGACACACUGCUAACAGAAGAUAAAUGAACUCCCAAACAUGUAAGGCUAAAAAUGCCAGCAAUAUAUCUCAAGAGUUCCAUACCGACAGGUAUCUUGACUCCUUCAGUGUCCUGUCCACAGCAUAUGAAGAAGAGAAAAACACUAAGUUCUAAGUAGCACAGCUGCAUAUAAGUGCAGGAAAAGAGAAACUGUUCUUUCCAACUUUCUGGUUUGGCUGUUGGGUUUGUUUGAGUUAGUUUGUUGAGACUGGCAGUUGCUUGGUUGCCUUUUUUUUUUUCCUCUCAUAAACAGCAGUCAGUAACAAACUCAAUUAAAGUAAUAGAGGCAGAGGCUGAAGAUAAUGCAAAAUAUAAUGACCUGCUCUGCAUGAAUCAGAUUAGUAUCCACAACACUUGAAUUUUUUUCCCCCUGAGUAUUCUCAUUUCAAAGGCUUACUUUGAAGUGUCCUGGAAAGCGAAGUUUUGCAUUUAAAAAAAAUCUCUUUAAAGUACUCUAAAGACUGUUAUCUGAAGGAAACAAUAAGAGAUUUCUAGUUACAGAUGGUUCUUCGGGUCUAUUACUGAUUGACAAAACGAAGCAGUUGACAACAACAGUGUUAGUGCCAAUUAGUAGAAGUGGGCUAAUUCAAAAUUCCAUUAAUUGUCUUCCUUUGUUUAAAGUGAGCUAGGAAUUGUGAAAAGCUUAAACCAAAAUGACAGUGGAUGACAGUCAUGAAGCAAGCUUCACAGUUGUGAAAGAAGACAACCAGGGACCCUGAUUUGGAGCUAGACAUAAAAUUGGAUAAUUAAAAGGCAGUACAGUAACAACUUGGCAUUUGUGAACAGCUAUCACAGUGGACAGCUUGAAGAAUCCCCUGGCACAGGAAAAACAGGAGGAGAAUCUCAAAUUUUGCGCAGUGAAACAAAUCUUAAAACUGAAAAAUUAUUAACAACAAAAGAGUGAUGACUAAAAGUUUAAAUCUGCAGUAGCAGGCUGGGUAAGCUUCCUUUAAAUUUACCUAAACACAUUAGUUAAGUAACUAAAAUACAACUAAUUAUGUAGUGUGAAUAUUCAGCUGGAUGGCUGUUUCCUUUUAAACACUUCAUAUAGCCUUAAAUAGGCCCCCUGACUUUGAAUCAAGAAGGCAUUCAGAUAUCUGCAAAAAACUUGGAAAAUUGGUGGAGCCCUUGUGCAAGUAGAGGAUGGCCCCUCAAAUCUGGUAGCAGUUUUGUCCGUAUGAACUUUAAUUCUACUUCAUUAGUUUCCAUACUGUUUUUCUGUUCAUCAUGGGUAUAAUUCACCUUCUCCAUGCAGUAAUGGGGCUACCACUCUUACUGGUGAUACCUGAAGCAGGAGCUGCAGGACCUAGUACACAAGACACACCUAAGGCAGGCAAACUACCAGGAGCAAAAAGCAGCAGCAAUGAAAGCCCUUUUAUUUCCCCUCUUCAUCUUCAUAAGUAAGCAUCUGACCACCCAGGUAUCAUGCCUGAAUUUAUCUACACUUACACAAAAAAAUCUAGCUGACUUGUGAUGGAUCUGUCCUAUAGAUGGAUCUCAUAGAUUAGUGUGUAUUAAUUUUCAUGAGGGAAGUGCUAGUCAUAAGCUUCCAGUAACAAGGCCGAUUGUUAUUGUUAGAAGUUCCCAAAUCUCAGCAGUUUGAAAUAGAAGAGAUGAUUGACAUUAUGAGAUCCUGCCAGCCAUGCUAUUGAUUUGUCCAGAAGCUUUGCCCAGGCAGCAUGCUCCCCGAGCUGUGAGCAUUGCCACACCUCUGCACACACACACACACACCAGAAGUGUCCCCACAACCAGUCUAUUAAAUCAUGCUGCUCAAGUUCACUCACACCAGCCAUACUCUGUGAGGGACAUAAUGCACCAAGCCUUCUCCAAGCCAUUGCCCUUGCCCUGUGUCUGGUGUUAUAACAAGAACUAGCAGCCACAAAGCACGUGUAGGAAAAGCUUAAUGAGGGUGUUUGGCAAGAUAUGUCAUGUAUUCCAAGCUCCCUAUGUAUUGUCAUCACUAGCUGCUGAUAUUUCCUGAUAUGCGAAAGCAGGAAAAAAGUGAGGCAUCUUUCCCUGCUGGGAAAUACUGGUUUUAUUAAGGGCAACUACUUAAAGCAAAUUCAACUAGACAGCCAUAGUGGGUAACCUGUUGAUGCAACUUUCAGAAGGAUCUGCUAAGACAAUGCUAGAAGCUUGCAGCUAUUAAAUCAGUAGAGCAGAAAAUGAACCAGAAAUAGUAAAAAAGUAAAGUAUAGCAAAGGAAGGGAUUAAAAAUGGAUGGCAGCAGUCUCAGGAAUCCUCUGAUAAGGCGAAUGAACUAAAGAGUUCUUUUGAGUGCUCUAAUUUAAGAAAAUGGUUAUUUGCAAGCAGAAAUUAGAUAAUUUGAAAAGUAUGAUUAAAAAGGUCUGAUUUCUUAAAUUUGCUUUCUCUCUAAUACUUAGCUGGAAACAUGGGUUACUCAAAGUAAUAAAACUGCCUAUGCUUUGAUCAGUGCAGAUCUACUGAAUUUAAUAAGUAAAUCCUUCUGAAUCUUCUAAAAUGCUUAUUAGAGGUCUUAAAACUAAUCAGAGGUGGAACAAAGAUGUAGAACAAGGAAGUGGAAGCAGUACUAAAUUCUGAUUGAAAGAAGUAGUAAGAAUGCCUGAAAGUAUACAACUUGGAAAUUAAAACAUGAGUUUUCACUCUCAAUUAAAAAUCUAGUAAUGAAAGAAAAAUAAAAUACUAAAGUAGGUGUACUAAUAGAAAGAAAUUAAUCUUCUAGAGAAAUAAAACAUCUUCAAUUAUCUGGAGUCAAUUUUGUGAUUUAAUUAAGGACACUGAGACAGGAUACAGUCAACUUUGUUCCAUAAAGCUUUUGUUUUUUCAAACAAAACUACAGCAGCAACUAUGAUUUUCUAAGGUUUUAGCUAAUCAAGCACUAUUAAUUUAUCCAGUCCUGUACAAAACACAGAAAGAUAAAAUAAUAUGACCUUAGCAGGACUUAACUUCAAGAACCAGUUCUUGAACUCUGAAAAUGUAUGUUGUUUGACUGAAGUGAAACAAAUUGGUCUCAUAAUUCAAUUUAAGUACUAUAAUUUUUGCCACUUGGAGGACUUCAUUACAGAAGGUCUCAAAUGAGUAAUACACAAGAUUUGCAGCCUCAAAGCAGCAAAACCUUUUUUUUUUUUUUUCUGGGUGUAGUGAGGAAAAAAAUAAUUCAUUUGAAGCCAGAAAUAUUUCUGUUCACAGUUUACUAUUGCAUAAACCAGGAUAUUUUCCAGAGGACUUCAUUAUUGAGUACUGAGUUAAACCUAGUAGCUUCAUUCAAAUGAAUACCAGAAUUCCACAUGAAAUUUUGUAUAUAUUAGAAUCCUUUUGAGGAUUAUACAAACUUUUAUCUUAACUUAUAACUUCUUACUUGCAAUCUCUGGAUACAGUCACAUCUCCCAAGUAAUAGGGGCUGUUUUACUAUAAGAUUGGUUUCCUCAUGCUAGUUCUUACAGACUGUAAUCAAAACAUUUCUUACUUUCUCUUUGAUAAAUACUCAAGUCAAAUGCAUCUGUCUCAUUAGGUCUUUCACUAUUAAACCAUUCUUAAGUAAUUGUAUUAGAUCUUCCUUAAACUUCCAUUCUGUUUGAUGCCAUUCUUUGGGAAAAAAACCCAUCUAUUUCAUUUACAGUAAUAAGACAAACCAAAAUCUUUACAUCUCUCCAUCAUGCUCAAAAAAAAAAUUCAUUCCAGAAGGCUGUCUGUAAACAUCAAUACACCAGUGGUUCAUGUGUAGCACAUAUUUAGCCAGGUAUUCCCCAGUCAACUUCAUCUCUACAUUAAGUCCCCCCCUCCUUUUCAAUAAAUUCCAUAUGGUUCUUUACUGUAUUAAAAGCAUUUGACACACUGAAUCUACAGCUCAUGUUUAUUACUUGCCCAAAAUUCUAGUUUUUGUGCCAUUUGUAAAGACUUUAUAAUUGCUUGCAGAUAACAGAUGAUGUAGGAUUACAUUAUAGUUAAGACUUUAUUUCAAAAGGAUUUCACUGGAAUAUUUCUACACUAAUUUGUAUCUCAAGAUUGAUUCCAAGGCCUAUAAUUAGCAGGCUUAAAUCCACUUAAUAUGUUCCAUAUUUAUUGUGUAGCAUUCCAGUAUCUUAGAAAAUUUUUAACUUCUGCACUUUCUAGAGCCAUGCAAACACAAAGCACCCCUUACCUUUUAUCAAUCAAAUAUGCAAUCUCAUAAAAACAAUUUUAAGUAGAAAAGUAUCACUUUCUCUCAAUUCAUAUUCAUUGUCAUUAUAUAAUUGAUCUCAUUUACUUCAGCACUCUAGUUCCCUGCCAGCUGCUGCUUUAUUUUUCACAAGAUUAGUGUCAGGCUGAUAGACCUAUAAGUACUUGAUUCAUCCUGUUUACCUUUUGUGAAUAUCGACACACCAUUAGCUUUCUUCUGUGUCUUUCCACAGUGUCUACAAUGAACAGAAAAACAUAACAGCUUGUCCAGAAUGCUCUUUAUCUGCUUCUUUUAAAACCACAUGCACGUUUUCCUGAUCUGCUGUCUAAUUUAGUAUUUCUGGUUAAUACACAAAAUCUUACCACUAGUAUGGAAAGAAUUUAAACAUCAACAUCAUCAUUAAGUUUACAUGAAUAAAAUGGUUUUAUCCCCUCUCAAAUUAAAUCUAAGACACAGCUCCUUGGUCCUUUUACUCUAAAAAAUGUCUUUUUGUUUCCUUUAUGAGUCUAUAUUUAUUUUUGUAUCUUUUUUUCCCCUAUAAUACCAAUCUGUAGUUCUUAAUUUCAAUUUACAUAAAUUUUUCUAGCUCCUUUAAUUCUAAUUCAAUUAUGGACAUGCCAUAAAACAAGAGCUUUAAUACUGAGACCGGUAUUAGAUAUAGGACAGUGGAGUACAGAAGGCACAAAGAUGAAAUGAGAAACACAGAAUAAUUCUUCAAAAUGUUUGAAACCCUAUAGAAAUCUUGAGAAUAAGAGACUCUGAACACACCUAUUCUAAAGUUAUAGAACUUCAAACUAUAAGCAAACCACUUAGUGUAUGGAAAAUCACCUUAAGUCUAAGAAGCAGAGUUCAGGUGCAUGAAGGCAAACUGCAUGUUUACAUUCCUCCUCAAACAGAUAUUAUUACAGUCACAGCUACGCUUUGUCUCAAAAUAACUUGAUGUUUGCUGGUGCUGCAGAUACCUUACUAAAGUUUAGCCUAAUUUUUAAAGUUUAGCCUAAUUUUUUUUUGCAAGUGCAGUGGUAGCAAACCUUAAAACAGCUAGAAGUUCGGCAAUUUUUUGUAUUUUGCCAUAUAUACACUAAAUCAAAACUUUUUUUUUUUUUUUUCUUCAGGGAUAAGGAGGGAAAUGGCAGGAAGAAAGAAAGUCUUGUCAUAUAUUUACUUUGUUUGGCUGGUACCAAAUAUCAAAUGAAUAUUUAUGAUGUCUAACUCCAUCAACACAGCAGAGUGGAAGGUAUAUUUUAGCAAAAGAAUGACACAGUAGGGAGGAAUUUCACCUGUAAGCAUUCUCUAGCUGAGAAAAGAAAUCACAGAUCUGCACAGACUUUCAGCAUGUUAUUGAAAGUUGUCCAAUACCAAAUGGAAGACAGAAUAAAUCGAAUUGUUGCACAAUGAAAUUGUUCUUCCCAUUCUUACAAUAGAUUUUAAUACUACUCACUUCUGGCCUUUUUCUGAAAUCACCUACUAUAUGUACAUAGAAUAAUCUGUUCCUAGAAAUAAUGAUUUCUGCUGCACUGAGUUCUUGUCACAUGAAUGGCAAAUGAAAUGUCAAUGUCUGGGUAAAGCAGAUUCCCCCACACUUAUUACUAGAACUCUUGCAGUUAUGGCUGUCUUCAUAUCCCUCUGAAUGAUGCUAUGAGGGGACCGUAUAGCGAGGGCUCCAACAUUUAGCACAGUACAUUUACUCAUAUAUUUAACCACACUCUCUGGCUUUCUUGAUUUAAACAUGGAAAGAACAUGAGAUGAACCGCAAAAGGAAAUAAUCUAAGCAAGCUCUAAAGCAUCUUUGGAGAUUUGGUUGGUCUUCCCUUAAAAACAUCCUCCCCACAACAAAUCCAGUCCUCAACAGAUAACGGACUACCUCCUAAUUUUGCUGUGUCCAACCAGGAUGAUGUAUGUUUGAAGCAAGAUGGGUCACUUCAAUGAAGACCUACCUUUUGUUGCCCUCAAAGCAGACCCUUCUCAUUUGAAAAAUUCCAUGCUUGCAAAAACUCACCACCUAUCAGAGAGCAUUGUACCAAGAAGUUUCUACUCCAUUUCAAAUUAGUCCAUAAACAAAUACUCAAUAGUAACAGGCUUCUGAAACUGAUGCUUUGCAAUAAAAACUUGAAAGGAAAUCUAGGACUGUGAUGAUUUUUUAGAAAUCCUGAAGGCCAGGACUGAAGCAUCUUCAGACCCAUCCUCCUAGAUAGUGUCAAUGCCCUUCCCAACAUAACAACAAAACACACCAUGCAGAAUGUGUCAUCCAGCAGAUAUGUGCUAUGGUGCUUGAUUUGCAGCAGCACUGAUGAAUAACUUAUAAACAGACACCUAACAAACAGAAGAUUACUCCCAAGAUUUCCAAUUGUUAUUACUUUGGGCAUGCAGCAGUCAAGCUGACUUUUCCCUUAGAUAGAAUGAAAGACUCUACUUAAUAUUUCAAUAGAGAAGGCUUUUCAGACCUCUGAACAAUACCAUUGUCAGUAGUGGACUUUGAUACGCAUUCAAUGGGCUGAUACAGAUGUUGUGACUGACAGCAGUUUCCAACUGCAGCAUUAUUCAAGCAUAAAAUUGCUGUGAAGGCAAUCACAAUCAAAAGCAGCUGGGUCCACAGAAAACACAUGGUGUUCAUAUGACGAAGCUCUCAGCAUACGUAGAUGCAAGCAAAGGAGGAUUUUAUUUCACAUUCAUGAUCAAUUGAGGCACACAUAAAUUACUGUAAUUUUUAUAUCGUCAUUUAGCUACACUCUGAAAGAAAGAAAAAGCUCUAGUUCUACACAGAGAUCAAAAGAGAAGCUAUUGUCUUCCAAAUUGCCAUCAAGCUCUAAUACAAAAUUGGUACAACAGUCUGUGGAAUGCUGAUAACAUUUAGUGCUGCAGUUAGCUACAGAUUGUCUGAAGUAUGGAAAAGUCAAAGCAUAGAUGAUUUAAAGUGAAAGAUGGCACUCUUAAAUUUUGCUGGUUUGGGUUGAAUUUUCCAGGCAUGUGAUAAAGACAAUCUGUAGUUGUGAAAUAGUAAUUUCUAAUUUCCAAGUAAAUGACAAAAGAAUUAAAAAUAAGAACAUCUCCUUCAGACGAUAGCUUCUUUUAAAGACUUUUUAUUUAAAUAAAAUUAAAAAAGGAACUGUUCAACUUUAGAAAUUGGGUGAUUGGGAAGUGAUCCAUGAAGACCUAUAGUUUGCUUUGAAAUUCAUCUGUGUUCUGCUAAUCGCCAAGCAGUUGCUUCUCCUUUAUUAUUUCACAUUUGCAACUUUUGAAUGUUCCAUGCAAAAAUAACAUAAACAAGUAAAUAUGAAGUAAAAAUCCUUAUAAAUUCAAACUUUAAGGUCAUUGUUCUAUUUUGAUGUGUAAUAAAACGUUGACUUGCAAAAAAAAGCAAUUUACAUCCAGCAUCUCACAAGCCUGAACCCAGAGUUACCCUGUUAAUUUUGCUGUGCCCUAAGCAAUGCUGAAAUGAUCUGAAGGAAUCACUUGCCAAAACAAAAGCACACUUUAUGAUAAAAUAAAGCAUAUGGAAACAAAACAGCUAAGUGAAACAAACAGACUGCACUGAAUCGUAUUCCUAGAUUAAACAUUCUUUACAUAAUAAUUAUAUAUACAAGGGUACCCACAGCCGAAGCUGUAAAAGCAAAUUGCACACUGGGAUCAUACAGUAAAUUAUUUCUGCAUACACCAGCAGAUUUGGAAUAGUAUUAAAUACUAUUUUGAAUUUUAAAUACAGUUGACAUAAGUAUUGUUGUUAGAAAGAGAAUUGCUUUUAGUUAGAAAAGAUUACAAGCAAAUCUGCUGCCUAUAAAAAUGCUAAUAAAUAGACAAUGUUAAUAAUAUAAAUACAGCAGUAUAUCUUCUUACAGUUUCAUUAAGAUAGAAAAAGUUAGGGUAGAUUGGCAUUAGGAAUAAAGGAUUAAAGAAGUAACUUAAAGAGAAAAAGAAAUAAAUAUAAUCAUAAAAUAGGGUAGGUGCACCAAGCAAUACUCCAGUAAUUCUUAAUACAUGGAAAUUGUCAUAAACAUGAAACCCUAGCCAUUUUCAAAAUGCAUAUUUAUUACAAACAGUUGAAUGUAAGGGAGAUAAAAUUAAAUUGAAAAUAAAAGGAAAGCAGAGAGAUGAGGAAAAUUAUUUUAAUUUUUAAACGGGACUUCCUUUCUAUUACAGGUUCUGGAGCUGAACCAGGAACUGCACAGAUGCAUCUGUGUACAGAACUAAUGUAACACAUUAAAAGAUUAAAGAAAACAAGCAAGGUGUGCUAAUGCAUGGUACUGGAGGAAACAACACAUAAGUACUGGUCAGAAAAGGGCAAAUAUUUGUAAUCAAACAUGCAGAAGCAUAAUACAAAUAGUAGCACUAGUAAAUUAUAAGUUGUCCAUCCAUAAAUAUUCACACAAGCAAGUUUUCAUUUGAGCACUGUGUUUGAAAACUUUUCCUUACAAUUUAGGACAGAAAUUCUGAAUCUUAAAUAAAGCAGUACCUACUAAUAACAAAGAGCCCCUUGACUCCUCACUAGAGACCUGAAAGAGACAAUGGUCUCAUGAGGACAUGCUCAUUCACGUUACAAACAAACAAAUCAAAAUCAGGAAUCUCUGACCUAGGAGACCAGGAUAAAGGAGUACUGGAAGGAGGACAUUUCCUUGGUCAAAGGAGGCUUGCAUCAGAGAACACCUAAACAAAUGUGACAUCCACAAGCCCAUGGGCCCUGGCAGGAUGCAUCCAUGCGUGCAGAGAGAGCUAGAGAACACCACAGCUAGGCUGCUCACAAUCUUUGAAAGGUCACAGAGAAAAGGAGAGGUGCCUGGAGGCAGGAAGAAAGCAAAUGUCACCCUGGUCUUCCAAAAGGGCAAGAAGGAGGACCCAGGGAAUUACUGGCCACCCAGCCUCAUGGCAAUCCCUGGAAAGGCGCUGGAGUGCCUCAUUCUGGAGGCCAUCUCCAUCCACAUGGGUGACAAGAAGCUGAUCAGGAGUAGUCAGUUUGGAUUCAUUGAAGGUAAAUCAUGCUUUAUCAACCUGACUGCCUGCUAUGGUGAAACAGCUAUCUGGGUAAAGGAGGGGAGAGCAGAAGUUACUGUCUGUCUUGACUUUAACAAGGCUUCCAACACUCGCCUCUACAACAUCCUCAUAGAAAAACAGGAGGAGUGCACUGGAUGACUGGACAGCAGAGUGGAUUGAGAACAAGCUAAACCAGAGGGUCAUAAUCAGGGGGACAGGGUCUGAUUGUAGGUCUGUCACUAGUGGUGUUCCCCAAGGUUCAAUAAUGGCCCCAGUAUUGUUUAACUUGUUCAUGAGUGACUUGGAUAAAGGGGCAGAUGCCUCCUCAGCAAGACCACUGAUAACACAAAGAUGGUAGAUGUGGCUGAUAGAUCAGAGGGCUGUGCAACCCUUCAGAAGGACUUCAAUGGGUGGGACAGAUUGGCAGAGAAGAAUAUUCUGAAAUUUCACAAAGGCAAAUGCAGGUCCUGCAUCUGGGGAAGAAUAACCCCACGCACCAGCACAGGCUGAAAAGCAGCACUGCAAAGAUGGACCUGGGGGUCUUGGUGUACAAAAAGCUGUCCAUGAGCCAACAGUGUGUCCUGGGGCACAUAAUGAAGAGCAUUGGCAGCAGAGCAAGGGAGGUGAUCCUACUCAGCCCUGGUGAAGCCACAUAUGAAGUGAUGUGUUCAGUUCUUAGCUCCUCAGUACAAGAGAGACAUGGAGCUCCAGGAGAGGGUCCAAAGAAGGGCAACAAAGAUUAUUUAAGGGCCUGAAGCCCUACCUUAAGAGGAACAGCUGAGAUAGCUUGGCCUGUUCAGCCUCGAGAAGAGACAAUUGAGAGGGGAACUCAUCAAUGUGCAUUUGAAGGGAGGUUGCCAAGAGGAUGGAGCCAGGCUCUUCUUUGUGAUGCCAACCAGUAGGAAAAGAAGCAAUGGGCAGAACACGAUGCACAGGAAGUUCCAUCUGAAUGUAAGGAGGAACUUUUUUACUGUGCAGGUGGCCAAUCUUGCCCAAUAUUUUUCGAAGUCUUCACUUAUGACUUCAUUUUAGGGCAGAGUGCACUUUCAGCAAGUUUGUUAAUGAUUAAAAACUGGGAGGAGGGCCUGAUACACCAGAUGGAUGGGCUGCCAUUCAGAAAGACCUGGACUGACUGGAGAAAUUGCACAACAGAAGUCCCUUGAAGUUCAGUGAAGGAAAGCACAAAAGUCCCACAACUGGGAAGCCAUUACCCUACACAUCAGUCUGGGUUGGAGGCUAAGCAUCUGGAAAGCAGCUUUGUGAAGAAGGACUUGGAACCCUGGAGGGCACCACUUGAAAAAUAAACCAGCAGUGUAUAUAAAUAAAUACCUGAUGAAGUCAGGGAAUAGAAAAUACAGAGACUCUUUUAAUUGGUGUCCACUGACAGAAAAAGGCACAACAGCCAGAAACUGAAACACAGGACAUUGGACUGAAACAAAAGAAAAAUUUCUUUGCUCUUCUUUAAGAGCACCAAAUCAUAGAACUGGUUGUCCAGAAAAAGGUCGUGAAGCUACUCAAAACUCAGCUAAAAAUAUACUCAGUAUUCUGCCCAGGCUGACUCUGCUCUGACCUGUAAGGAUGGCCUUGUCAAUCUUCGGACAUCCAUAAUGACAUCCCUUCACAAAAUUCAAAAAUUCUGUGAUCCUCUGGUAUUUUGGCUCCCAAACUCAUUUUUCUAAACCUUUCUAUUUCAUGCCAUCUACCUUUCUUCCUCCUGCAAUGUUUACCCUAAAUUACCACGUCAUUUCUGUUUGGUUUCUCCUCCUGCCUUCACUUUUAUGUCCAAGACCUUGUCUGAAUGACUAUUCUCUCCCACUCCAACUGCUCUCAAUUUCAUAAUCAUCCCAGUUGUACUGAAAUUGCUGUUUCAGGAAUGAGUUUCAUCUGCUGACCAGAAAUAUCCUACUACAUAUUAGACAAAAAGAAAAAAAAAA